rnacentral:lncRNA from 1 species
GUGGGUGUGUGUGACCGUGAGAACAAGACCAAGGGGGAAACCCUAUUUCUUCAAAAUCUUGCAAAUCAAAGGAGAAAAGGGCUAAAUUUUGAAUGCAUGAACUAAGAAUGAUGAUCAUCUAAGCAUACCCAACAUCAAUAUGAAUGUAUGUUGGAACGUGUCAAGGAGAGGUCAAGCAUAGGAGGAUAACGGGUCAAGAUAAGGCAAGGUGACAAAUACACUUAUUGGAGUACUCGAGGUAAGUGAAUUUCGAUUCACUUUUUAGUAGGUUUAAUAGAUUUUAAUACUUAUGUUUACAAAACAUCAUGAAAGAACAUGUGAUAAUCAGAAGUACAAAGCCAAUAAUGCCUCAUUAUUGAAGAAGGUUGAAUUUAAGCCGAAAGUAAAUUGGUGGGUUUAAACGGGUCGAAUUUUAUGUGCAUAUGUUGCGUAAUGUAAUGAAAUUCGUUAUGGUUAAGACCUUGGGUAAGAAUUUUAGUCAUUAUGUAAGGGGAACAUUUCCCGGACCAUUAGGAACAAGUUUUAUAUGAUUCGGUUGUCGGUUAGUGAAUGAACGGAUUGUUUCGUGUUAGUGUAGGAAAUUUUAUAAGUAUAUGUGUAUGGGAAUCCAAAGGCCACGUGGGUUGAAUCGUAGAUUGUCUAUACUAUGUAAAGUUGUAAAUGUGACAUUCCGGCAUAAACCUACAUGUAAAAGAAGCUUGUGUAUAUAUUCGUGAUUAAUUGAUUGUGCGUAGGAAGGAACAUUGGCAUGUAUGAAGGUACGCAUAUAUAUAUAUAAGUGUAUAUAUAUAUAUGUAUGUAUGUAUGAUAAUAAGUAUGUAGGUGUGAAUGUAUGUGUGAAUGAAUGUUCAAUGCUUAAGACAUAUGCAUGAACGUAUCAAAGUGUUCGAGUAUUUAUGGAUACUAAUGAUGUGCGUUGAGUUGGAAUGUAAUGUAGGUAUGGGAUCGUUGGCUUCAUGAAGAAAUGGAGCUGGAUUCGGAUAAGAGUAUUUAAGAAAGCGCUUGGACAAUUCCACGACUACUUUAUAGAAUGCUCUACGAAAUUUUAUUAUAUAGUUUAAUGUUGAAUGGUAUGUUAAUGACUAAUGGUUUGGUUUACGUGGUGUCCACAGGUAUCGCUUGGGUUUUCUCUACAUUUAUUGAAGUGAAGCGGACUUAGUUCGAGUUGAGAGCAAGGAUUGUACGGGGUAGAAUGGUCACAUAGUGUAACUCAUAUAGGUUUUGAAGUAUUAAUGUUAUAAAACGUUAUAAAUCCGUUUUAAUGAAUAUAUGGCAUUUCGCACUUGAACCUUCAUGUGUUUGAUAUGUCUAUUAAAGAACGAAAUUUUUGAGCU